GGCGUGCGAUACAGGGUGACAGCCCCGUACACAAAAAUGCACAUAUUGUGAGCUUGAUGAGUAGGGCGGGACACGUGGUAUCCUGUCUGAAUAUGGGGGGACCAUCCUCCAAGGCUAAAUACUCCUGACUGACCGAUAGUGAACCAGUACCGUGAGGGAAAGGCGAAAAGAACCCCGGCGAGGGGAGUGAAAAAGAACCUGAAACCGUGUACGUACAAGCAGUGGGAGCACGCUUAGGCGUGUGACUGCGUACCUUUUGUAUAAUGGGUCAGCGACUUAUAUUCUGUAGCAAGGUUAACCGAAUAGGGGAGCCGAAGGGAAACCGAGUCUUAACUGGGCGUUAAGUUGCAGGGUAUAGACCCGAAACCCGGUGAUCUAGCCAUGGGCAGGUUGAAGGUUGGGUAACACUAACUGGAGGACCGAACCGACUAAUGUUGAAAAAUUAGCGGAUGACUUGUGGCUGGGGGUGAAAGGCCAAUCAAACCGGGAGAUAGCUGGUUCUCCCCGAAAGCUAUUUAGGUAGCGCCUCGUGAAUUCAUCUCCGGGGGUAGAGCACUGUUUCGGCAAGGGGGUCAUCCCGACUUACCAACCCGAUGCAAACUGCGAAUACCGGAGAAUGUUAUCACGGGAGACACACGGCGGGUGCUAACGUCCGUCGUGAAGAGGGAAACAACCCAGACCGCCAGCUAAGGUCCCAAAGUCAUGGUUAAGUGGGAAACGAUGUGGGAAGGCCCAGACAGCCAGGAUGUUGGCUUAGAAGCAGCCAUCAUUUAAAGAAAGCGUAAUAGCUCACUGGUCGAGUCGGCCUGCGCGGAAGAUGUAACGGGGCUAAACCAU
rnacentral:rRNA from 1 species